rfam:TPA: Bos taurus chromosome 24, whole genome shotgun sequence.
UCCCUGGUGGCUCAGAUGGUAAAGCAUCUGCCUGCAAUGCAGGAGACCUGGGUUCGAUUCCUGGGUCGGGAA